rnacentral:rRNA from 1 species
UACGUAGGGGGCUAGCGUUAUCCGGAUUUACUGGGCGUAAAGGGUGCGUAGGUGGUUUCUUAAGUCAGAGGUGAAAGGCUACGGAUCAACCGUAGUAAGCCUUUGAAACUGGGAAACUUGAGUGCAGGAGAGGAGAGUGGAAUUCCUAGUGUAGCGGUGAAAUGCGUAGAUAUUAGGAGGAACACCAGUUGCGAAGGCGGCUCUCUGGACUGUAACUGACACUGAGGCACGAAAGCGUGGGGAGCAAACAGGAUUAGAUACCCUGGUAGUCCCUGAG